rnacentral:snRNA from 1 species
GUGCUGGCUUCAGCAGCACAUACCCUAAAAUUUGAAUGAUGCAGAGGUUAGCAUGGCCCCUGUAAAAGGAUGACAUGCAAAUUCAUGAGGUUUUCCAGAUUGAA